AGCGAACGCUGGCGGCAGGCUUAACACAUGCAAGUCGAACGGCAGCACAGUAAGUGUUUGCUCUUACGGGUGGCGAGUGGCGGACGGGUGAGGAAUAUAACGGAAUCUACUCUUUCGUGGGGGUUAACGUAGCGAAACUUACUCCAAUAUCGCAUAUCAUGUACGGGUGUAAGCAGGGGAUCUUUUGACCUUGCGCGAUUGAACGAGCCGAUGUUGGAUUUGUUAGUUGGCGGGGUAAAGGCCCACCAAGGCGCCGAUCCGUAGCUGGUCUGAGAGGAUGAUAGGCCGCACUGGAGCUGGAACGCGGUCCAGGCGCCUACGGGAGGCAGCAGUCGGGAAUGUUAGACAGUGGGCGGAAGCCUGGUCCAGCCGUACCGCGUGGGUGGAGGAGACGUUCGGGUUGUAAAGCCCGUUUGUUGGGAGAGAAAAGCUGCAGGUUGAGACCCCGCUGUUCUGACGGUACCCGAAGAAUAAGCACCGGCUAACUACGUG
rnacentral:rRNA from 1 species